UUUCCGGUUACAAUUGAGUUCAGUGACGUUUGUUUUGUUUGGAUUUUUGAAGAACCGAUUUAAGUGUAAAGUUCUAAUUUUAUUUUAUUCCUUCUUUCAAGCACAAUUCUAAUUUUAUAAGAUACAAAUGCCUCCUAAAAAGCAACCUGAUAAGGGAUCAAAAGGUACUGGCAAAGGAAGUGGUGGUGGAAAGUCCGGAGGAGAUUCAAAAGAAUCUGGUGCUAAAGAGAAAAAAGGUGGGACCGCUGUCAAAGUUCGUCACAUUUUAUGCGAGAAGCAAUCGAAAUGCUUGGAAGCUCUGGAGAAAUUAAAAACCGGACAGAAAUUUCCCGAUGUAGCGGCCGCGUAUAGUGAAGAUAAAGCAAGGCAAGGCGGAGACCUUGGGUGGAUGACUCGAGGGUCUAUGGUUGGUCCGUUCCAAGAUGCAGCAUUCGCCUUGCCGAUAUCAUCGGUCACAAAUCCUGUAUACACAGAUCCUCCAAUAAAAACCAAAUUUGGUUACCAUAUAAUAAUGGUUGAAGGGAAAAAAUGACUGGAAUGGUAUUUGAAUUUGAAUACUUCUGGGCGAUAUUAUUGCUGUUCAUUAUGGAGAGGAUAUAUUGUUUGCAGGAACAAUUUGACAAGGACUUUACAAUUUUGCCAGAUUCACAAUGGUCAAAUGAGUCUUUCAACUCUGAGCUGGAAGAAUUUUAUAAUAGAGAUAUGGGUUUGAAAUUAAACUUCCUGCGAUUGUGUCGCCUGAUGCAAGUGACAAUGCUCCUGAGCCUCGUCUACUUUUGUAACAUCUGUCUAUGGUUUAUGAUGACAAAAAAGGGCUCGCCUAGAAGCAUGCAUUACAGAUUCAAAAUGACCAUUCCAACUUAAUUUGUCAGAAAAUAUUUAAAUAAUAUACAUUUUUAUUAUUGUUUUUAAAUUUAUUUCUGAUUU
rnacentral:misc_RNA from 1 species